rnacentral:sRNA from 1 species
GGUUAAUGCGGAAGGGGAAGACGAAAGUCUUCGGCAAGGUUCGAGUUGUGCAGCGCUAAGCGCAGCCGGCCCGAAGGAUGAGAGCCAAGCGACGAACAAUCCUUCUCCAUCCCAAA